rnacentral:rRNA from 1 species
CCUACGGUGGGCAGCAGUGGGGAAUAUUGGACAAUGGGGGGAACCCUGAUCCAGCGACGCCGCGUGAGUGAAGCAGUAUUUCGGUAUGUAAAGCUCUAUCAGCAGGGAAGAAAGAAAUGUCGGUACCUGACUAAGAAGCCCCGGCUAACUACGUGCCAGCAGCCGCGGUAAUACGGAGGGGGCAAGCGUUAUCCGGAUUUACUGGGUGUAAAGGGAGCGUAGACGGUUACGCAAGUCUGGAGUGAAAGGCGGGGGCCUAACCCCCGGACUGCUUUUGAAACUGUAUAACUUGAGUGCAGGAGAGGUAAGUGGAAUGCCGAGUGUAGCGGUGAAAUGCGUAGAUAUUAGGAGGAACACCAGUGGCGAAGGCGGCUUACUGGACUGUAACUGACGUUGAGGCUCGAAAGCGUGGGGAGCAAACAGGAUUAGAUACCCCUGUAGUC